ensembl:lncRNA
AAAUUAAACACUGCGGCUCGUGAUGAUACAUUGAUGUGUAAAAACAAAAAAUUAUCGGUCUGUGCAAGAAACUGAACAGUAUUUAUAUCGUUUUUUUUUUUACCUCUGAUUUAUGCAAUGUCAGAACUGUUAGAACUCUUGUGAAUGCGCUUCACAGCAGCCUGCAUCAUCUUCUUCUUGUUGCUUUUGUAGUGGGACGAACUUGGGUGUCUCUUUAAAUUUGUUCCAUCAGUUGUCCAAUCAUACACAUUCACGGUUCUAUAAAAGGGGACUUUUAAUGCACCGUGUUGUGCUCACCUCUUGUGCGUCAUUGCCCGAGGCCCGCCCCUUCCUGGCUUAGACUCUUCCUGUCUUGCAGGUAUGUGCUUGCUAGCGAAUACAAAUUAGUGGUGUGCUUGUGGUAACCAGCAUUAUUUUGAAUCGUAGUUCCCGACAUAUAACUGUCUCAUGUUGCUUGGCGACUGCUUUUAAAUGCACUCCCGCUGCAUUCCCAUACCUUCUUGCCGGUUUGAUGUCUGUUUGCGUGUGCGGCUGGACGUGUGAUCAUAGCUACAAUAAAAAGGUGGAACAGUUUUAAGGAGGACUCAUUCAGUGCAGCCUGCGGGCAAACGUAUUUUGAUGCUGCUGCUUUGUUUAUGUUGUUUCAUGUCUGUUUUGCAAUCUAACGCAGAGGCGUGAGUUGGCGCGGGUAUUGGUCCUCUCCAUUGGACCAACUUUUCUGCGUUCUGCUUAUUGGACUGUGGAAUUUGCAAUUUGUUUCAGUUUGUUUUCAUUUAAUUGGCACCUGGUCAUGAAACUGGGGGUGGCGUAGUCAGCUGAGUUACAGUUUGCCCAAUUAACUUCCCGCCACAUUUUGGCGUAGUCGGCAGGGUCGUUUCUCUUUGUUGGGCUGAGACGUGGAUGCUUAUUGUUAUUUGGUUAAAUGUUUAGUUGUGAUUUGUGGAU